UGAUGUGAUGGUUAAACUCUAACGUUGGAGAACAGAGAAGACCCCAGUACAUACAUCACACACCAUGUUCUCUACAUCUCUACUGCUCCUGCUGGCAGCUACUUCCUAUGUGCAUGGUGUUGAACUGACUCAGCCUGCUUCCAUGACAGUCCAGCCAGGCCAGAGUCUCUCCAUCAACUGCAAGGUCUCAUAUUCAGUUACGAGCUAUGAUACAGCUUGGAUCCGACAACCUGCAGGAAAAGCUCUGGAGUGGAUUGGAUACAUUGCUGGUGGGAGUGGAACUUACAGUGACAAACUGAAAAAUAAGUUCAGUCUCUCCAGUGACACGUCUACAAACACCAUAACAAUUCGAGGACAGAACAUGCAGACUGAAGACACAGCUGUGUAUUACUGCGCUCGU